rnacentral:rRNA from 1 species
AACGAACGCUGGCGGCAUGCCUAACACAUGCAAGUCGAACGAGACCUUCGGGUCUAGUGGCGCACGGGUGCGUAACGCGUGGGAACCUGCCCUUAGGUUCGGAAUAACUCCCCGAAAGGGGUGCUAAUACCGGAUAAUGUCUUCGGACCAAAGAUUUAUCGCCUUUGGAUGGGCCCGCGUUGGAUUAGCUAGUUGGUAGGGUAAAAGCCUACCAAGGCGACGAUCCAUAGCUGGUCUGAGAGGAUGAUCAGCCACACUGAGACUGAGACACGGCCCAGACUCCUACGGGAGGCAGGAGUGGGGAAUAUAGCACAAUGGGCGGAGGCCUGAUCCAGCUAUGCCGGUUGAGUUAUGAAAGCCUUAGGGUAGUAAAGCGCUUUUACCCGUGAUGAUAAUGACGGUACCGAGAGAAUAAGCUCCGGCUAACUCCGUG